UAGCAGUGGGGAAUUUUGGACAAUGGGCGAAAGCCUGAUCCAGCAAUGCCGCGUGUGUGAUGAAGGCCUUAGGGUUGUAAAGCUCUUUUACCAGGGAUGAUAAUGACAGUACCUGGAGAAUAAGCUCCGGCUAACUCCGUGCCAGCAGCCGCGGUAAUACGGAGGGAGCUAGCGUUGUUCGGAAUUACUGGGCGUAAAGCGCACGUAGGCGGUUACUCAAGUCAGAGGUGAAAGCCCGGGGCUCAACCCCGGAACUGCCUUUGAAACUAGGUAACUAGAAUCCUGGAGAGGUGAGUGGAAUUCCGAGUGUAGAGGUGAAAUUCGUAGAUAUUCGGAAGAACACCAGUGGCGAAGGCGGCUCACUGGACAGGUAUUGACGCUGAGGUGCGAAAGCGUGGGGAGUAAACAGGAU
rnacentral:rRNA from 1 species